rnacentral:RNase_P_RNA from 1 species
UGCCGAAUGAGUUUAAGCUCAAAAUAUCCUGCAAAUAUACAUACACAAAAUGGGGUGGAAAGAAAGGAAAAGAAAAAAAAAAAAAGGAAAAGGAAAGAAAUGUAAAAAGUUUCCGUACUUUUUUUUUUUUUUUUUUUUCUUCUUUUCAUUCCGCGUAUCUCCGUGUUGUGUAAUUUUUUCAUAACAGGAAGGAAGGUCUGAGAUGCUGCCAAUAAAGAAGACACAAAAGGAAAAAGAACGAAACAUGUGGUUACAAAGUUUGUCUAAAAAUUUGUCGCCACAUGGUAUGGUUAUUUUCCCUUUUGUUCCAUUCCUCGCGAAUUCUUCUUUAAACUCAUUUUGAGAAAAAAAUAUUGAAAAAAUAUUAAUUAGCUACCAGAAAUGCCAAUCAUACAUUUUUGGUCUGUCCCUUUCUCUUUCCCUUGGAGGGGGAAGGGGGCAAACCAGUGUACGAUUUUGAAAAAGCUAAUAAGCAAGUAUACGCAAUUGAGUUCGAUUUUUGAGAUUUUUCGAUCGUCCUAAUUGUGUACCUUUGCCUUUCCAUGUAUGUGUGUGGGGGGACGGUUACCCCCUCCCCCCACCUCCUUGGGACAGGAGAAAGGGUCAACACUUUGGGCACCCCGAGAAAUAACCUAAUUCAGACUACUCGUAAAUUCAUUCGCACCG